ensembl:lncRNA
AUGAUUGAACUGUUAAGACAACAAGCACGAAGAGCGUUGUUUUCAGGAGGGGCAGCACUUGCAGGCUCACACCCGACCAAUGCUCACACCGACCACCGCUCACAUCCCGCUCACAUCCCGCUCACAACCCGCUCACACCCGACCAAUGCUCACAUCCCGCUCACACCCAACCACUGCUCACACCCCGCUCACACCAGACCAAUGCUCACAUCCCGCUCACACCGCUCACACCCGACGAAUGCUCACACCCCGCUCACACCCGAUGAAUGCUCACACCCCGCUCACACCCCGCUCACACCCGACCAAUGCUCACACCCGACCACAGCUCACACCCCGCUCACACCCCGCUCACACCCGACCAAUGCUCACACCCGACCACAGCUCACACCCCGCUCACACCCGACCAAUGCUCACACCCCGCUCACACCCGACGAAUGCUCACACCCGACCAAUGCUCACACCCGACCACAGCUCACACCCGACCACCGCUCACACCCCGCUCACACCCCCGCUCACACCCGACCACCGCUCAAACCCCGCUCACACCCCCGCUCCCACCCGACCACUGCUCACACCCCCGCUCACACCCACCCCCGCACUCACCACGGCUCCCACCCGACCACCGCUCACACCCCGCUCACACCCACCCCGCUCUCACCACGGCUCCCACCCGACCACUGCUCACACCCCGCUCACACCCACCCCGCUCUCACCACGGCUCCCACCCGACCCCCGCUCAGACCCACCCCGCUCUCACCCCGCUCCCACCCGACCAGCGCUCAGUUCAAACGGGUCAGAGAUGGACCGUUGGAGGAGGGGUCUGCUGGUCUACUGUAGACAGUCAUCACUUCAGAGGAGAAUCUGUGUGACUUGUUAAAGGUCAAGUCGUGUGUGUGAGGCAGCCUUUGUGGGGAAGCUCAGGCUAUACUGCUCCCGUCUCACAAACCACGGCGUUAGAGCUCCAAUCAGUCCCUUAUUCCCUUUGUUUGAACCCCCCAGCCCCCCCCCCGUGUCUCCGGGUGUGAGUCUGGGACAACGUGCUGUGCUGCCCAGUCUGUUUGUAAUGCUUUAAUUUUAAAAUAUUUUUAAUAAUUUGUUAACUUAAUCAAAAUGUGCUGGUAAUCACAAAGAAAUGUAAAGGCAAUUUUUUCCUCAAAUAAAUGCAUGUAAUGAUGGAUGAUGCGUCUGAAUGUUUGGACUUACUUCUGCGUUCUCAUGUGAGAGAAUGGUUGCCUGGUUAGAUUAAAGUUUCUAAGAAGAGAAAAUAAUGAUAUGAAGAACAAAGAACACCAAAUGGAGGUUGAGUUUGGUAAGCAACACAUGGGAGCCUUAGAAGUUACACAAAUAUAUAUAUAUAUAUUUAUCCCUCCCCCAACACCAUUCUAUUAAAUUAAAGCACAUUAUGUAACCGUUUCAUUCUAAUCUAUGAUUACAUUUUCCCAGUUGAGUGCGGAUGUUGAGGUCAGGGUUCACUAAGUCUGGUUCUUCAGAGAGCUGGCCCCUGGCUCUUCAGGGAGCUCGCCUCUAAAGGUGAAAUACACGACUGAACCAAAAGGUUCACGUUCCACGACAUGGCUGAUUAGGCAUUGGGUUCUUUCCCAGGGUGGGAGCCCUGCCCCCCAUGCUACUGUAAGUCUCCUGGGAAGGAAUUCCACACCUCCCUAAUCCUCCCACCCCACCCUCAGACGAGAGGAUGGUGGAGAGGCCUCCAAAGAUCUGAUGGUUCUGAUCAAACCUCAGCCGUACAGACAGAACCAAACCAUGAUGAUUCAUGAUUGUCUUUAUUUGACUUUGUACGUUUACAAUGUUCCCCUGUUCUUCAGUCGUUAGGAAAUGAGUGACAGAUGAAACCAGCCAAUCGGUGAUCAGCCAGGAGUCCUAAUGAACCACUAGCAUCGAACAGUCGGUCUUACGUUGCGUUCUCUGACAGAACCGAGCCAAUCAGAGCGUUAUUCUCGUGGGUCAGGUGUGAUCUCGAUUGGAUAAAACAAAAUUAAAAAAAUUAUUGUUUCGAAAUCUGCACUGUUUUUAUUCCAAAUCAUAAGAAAAAUGUGAUGACGUUGUUUUGUUUGGAGAUGUAAAUGUUUGUUGUGUUAGAGCCCUCAGACAGCAGCACAUGCCCAGGAAGAGCAACAGCUGAUGAAUACAAUAUCUCCCCAAGGGGAUGGUUUGCCUGAACAAUGAUCAAUGAGCACUAUUAGAUGUUCGAACCAGCUUCAAAGUCAGCAUCAUUGGGUCCUGCAUCGCCCCUCCUCCUGUUCUGUGAGUGUUUGUGUGUUCAUUCUUGUGUACAUUUGUCCCAUGGCUUGUCAACUGAAGAUGGUUAGUUCUAUUAAAUGAUGGUCUUUCUGGUGCCUACAAUUAAAAAGGAUCUUAAAAUACCCUCUCCAUACUAAUCUGUGUUCUGUUCUGUAUGGUUUAAGAUACAGCCUACUUCCAUUCUAUUGUCUCAAAAUCAUUAGAUAGUGUGUUUUUAUCUGAUGAAGUCGUUUGGCUGGGGUCAAGAAUCCCAUCCCGGAUACCACUUGCUUUAAUGUGUGGUACGCGGACCGCAGGUUCGAUUCCCCUAGAUCUCCGAUCUCAGUAGGAAGCCCACAAAGUCAGGGUGUCAUGCUGCCCUUCAGUCUUGAGCACACAACACUUCCUCCUCACGAGGAGCGUUGGGCCCUCACUUCCUUCUCAUGAGGAGGAAGUGAGGGCCCAACGCUCCUCAUUUCCUUCUGAUGAGAAGCCUUGGGCCCUCCCUUCCUUCUCACGAGGAGGAAGUGAGGAAAUAAGGAGCGUUGGUUCCCUCACUUCUAGUUCAAAAGGGGGACGAUUGGAUGGAAUCAGAAUAAGAAUGGAAGAAUUUUGCGUCCGUUCUUAAAGUGGUAGUACUGAUGUGAAAUAAGUUGUUGCAAUGAAUUCAUGUUGCCUUGAACACCUUUUUAGAAGCAGUUUGUACACAUGAACUGACAUGCGGGUUGGUGUGUGAUACAGAAGACCUUGACUGAGGUAAGACCAAGGUACAAAAUGCACCCCCAUCACUUUUUGGAGUAGAACACUGAAGUAGAUAGACAAGUUUAAAUAAAACAUUAACUUUCCCUUCUUUUAUUUUUUUAUUCUUUGAGAAAAAUUUGGAAGCAGCAGUUUAGGCCAAUUCAAUUGGCAAAUAAUUUAGAGGCAGUAGAAAUCACGUAAUUUAUAUAAACAGUUUUUACUGGUUACUCAUUAAGGAAAGCAUCCUGUGUGUUGGCUUGUGUAUGUGUUUUAGUGUAUGUGUGUGUGUGUCUGUGUCUGUGUGCGCCAGUGCGUGAAUAUUUGUGUGUGUGUGUGUGCGUGUGUGUGUGUGUGUGUGUGUGUGUGUGUGUGUGUGUGUGUGUGUGUGUGUGUGUGUGUGUGCGCGCUACUUGGGUGCAUGCAAAUCUAUCGCCCUUUUAUUGAAGUGUGUGCUUGUGUAUGUAUUCAUUGGGUUUGUUUUUGUGUGUGUGCGUGCAAGCAUAUAUGUGUGUGUGUGUGCGCGUGUGACUGUCUGUGUGUAUGUGUGUGUGUUUGUCUGUGUGUGUGUCUGUGUUUGCGACUGUCCGCACCGUCCACUGUGUGUGUUUGUUCGAGUGUGUGUGUGCGUUCGUGCAUGCGUGUGUGUCUGUGUGUGUGUGUCCGGCCAUGUGGCUUUUUGGGUAAAGCUUUGCCUCAGGAAUUUGCAAGCAUGUUGAUUUAUAAAAUUCCGUAGUGUCAACUCCUGUCAGGUCCAGUCCAGUGGACCCCAGUCCUCACCUUACAGGAGACAACGGCUGCAGCUUGUGAUGGGAAAUCCAUAUGUUGUUUCCUUUUAGUCAUCUAAGGCUGUUUCCUAUUCCUUCUAUGUCUGCCUUUCCUCAGUGUCGUCCAAAUGUUAACCUUUGUGCUUGGGUCAGCCACCAUACCUUCCUCAGAGUCAUGUGCUUGGGUCAGCCACCCUACCUUUCUCAGAGUCAUCUGAAGGUUAACCUUCUGGCUUGGGUGAAGCGCCCACCAGGGACAGAGCAUCCCCUUAUGCACUCUGUGUCUUGGGUAAACAUUACUGAUUUGAUUAUUGACAUCUGCAAUGUGGGGAGGCUGCGAAACUGUUUAAAUUGCUCUGUCUGCCACAUCCUGGCCUCACUCUGCUAGAGAGGAGUCUAAUGUAUGCGUGCACUAAAAUGGGUUAAUUGUCUACAACUAUAUUAGUGCUUUUUGCCUUUAGAAAUCCCCUGUGUUCUAGACGCAAUAUCUCUUAAGGACAUUGCCCUGGCCAUUUUGGGGGAUUGUCCGGGAUACCUAACCUGAAGAAUCUACAAAAUAUGACCUAGUCCUACGUCUGAGCACUAGGUCCCAGAGCUCUACCUUGCCACCAGGUGAAGGCAACCAGCUUACUGGGGUGAGAAGAGGGCGCUUGUUGGGAAUAGAUUUCCUUUUUACACAGGACAGAUGAGAUCACAAUACACAAUAUCCGUUUUGGUAGUGCAUAUGUUACGGAAAAGUGGAACAAUGUGGGUAAUUAUAGGUAAAAUACUACUACAAUCACAGUAUAUUAGCUACAAAAAGCUUGUGGUAAUAGUAAGGAAUAAUUUAGGUACUUGUCCGGCAAAAAUAUGUUUAUGGUAAUAGUAGAACAAGUUGGAUACUUUAAUAGCUAAAAUGCUGUUUGGGUAGGUAACUUGAAAAAGAUAAAUAGAUAAAGUGACAAAUUAGGAACACAAAGUAGUAAGAGAAUUGUAAAAUAAUAAUUCAUAGUGUGUACGGAUCUAAAUGGGAAAUAAAUCGGGAAAAUAUAAAUAACAGGUCCUGCAAAGCUAAUGUUGGAGAAACAUGGUGAAAAGGCUCUGGAGGGUUUAAAAUAUUGGCGUAAACUGGGCUUUCCUGAAAUGGGUAUUUUUUGUCAAAACGGUUUAAGAAGUUAGAGGUUGUUGAAUUCAGA